rnacentral:lncRNA from 1 species
AUAUUCACUCACUAAUUUUAACCAGCUUUCAGGAGCGAAAGCUUUCACCCAACCUUCAAAUUUGUUUUUCCACCAAUUAUAGUCUUCAACUUUCAUUAGCUUUGGUGGCUUCUGCUGACUACCAUACAUAUUCUCAAACUUCAAGUUCUCUGAAAUCUCUCUUGAAUAUUCUUUCAAUUCAGAUCUUCUAUCUGUUGAUUCGGAAGUGAAAGCAUUGUAGAAUGUGUUGUAGAACUCUUCACCGUUGUUCGACAUCUUUAAUUACCUGAAAGCAAACAAACAAACUUAAUCAGUUUAAACAAUAUCAAGAAAUCUGAAAUUCACUGACUCUCGAUUGUCGUGAAAUAAUCUUGACACAAUAAACUCCACUUUCAAACGAAAUAUAACACACGGGUGAAAUCAGAUUAAACGUAUGAGCGAAACCCAAGUUGGACAAAUAAGCGAAACUCGCUCGGACAAAUAAGCGGACCACCGGCUUGACCGAAUGAGCGGAUCUCCUAUUGGACCGAAUAAGCGAAUCUCCUAUUGGACCGAAUAAGCGAACCUCCUAUUGGACCGAAUAAGCGAACCUUGUUGAGCUGAAUAAGCGGAACCUUUGAUGACAAAUAAGCGGACCAGGUUAUUUCCGGAUGAGCGAGCCUGGUAAGUGUCCGUUCGAGCGGAUCUGCAAGUUCGAAUAAGCGGACCUAAAAUGUACGUACGAGUGGAUCUACUUGAUGUCCGUUCGAGCGGAUCUAGCUUGUUCGUUCGAGCGGAUCUAGCACUUUCGAGCGGAACUAUUCAGAAUGUGACCCAAUAAGCGGAUCUAUGUAAUUUGGAGCGAAACUAGUGUCUUUGAAGCGAACCUAGAUGGUCAUAAAAGCGGACCUAUGUAACUUUCGAGCGAACCUAUCCACUGUCCGAAUAAGCGGAACUACAUUCGAAGGUUAUUUUGUCCAUUUUUAGGUUGAAUUUUGACAUGAAACUUUCAAGGAUCUGUUAUUAUCCACUAAUACACAUUCUGUGAAAAAUUUGAUCAAUUUUAACCGUGAAAACUUGUUCAGAUUGAAAAAGAAGGUGUAGAAGAUAGAAAACAGAUCCAAUUUGAGCUAAACUCUUCUUCCUGUGCUCUGAUACCACUUGUGGGAUCGUUGUUGAACCCAAAUGAGUCAAUCCGAAGAGUUGUUUAUCCAAUUCAGAGGCGGAAACAAAGAAUUAGACGCUCAAACUAAUUAUAAUGCUUUCUUUUAUUGAUCUAACAACAUUUACAACCUGAAAGCAAAUUGGCAGCACUUCGUUACAAGUUCCAGAAGUUACCAAAUGAACAACCAUGCACCUAUUUAUAGUAGUGGCUGGUUCGCUUAUAGAGACAUCCAUAUAAGCGGACCUAUGAGCUUGUGGUUCGCUUAUAUGGACGUUCAUAUGAGCGGACCUACUUGCUGAUGGUUCGCUUUUAUGGACAGUGUUCAUAUAAGCGGACCUUCUUACUAAACCGCCAACUUUCGUUUCUCGAACCUCGUUCACUGGAUAUUCUAUUCUAUCCUAUUCUAUAACAUGAUACAAGACGAAGUCAAUAGACGUAAUGCACUAAUAGAUAUGUUGUUCGGAUUCCAUCUUUGUUUGUGUGUUUUAGUUGUUAUAAGAAAGCCCUAAUUUUAUUCGUCUCAAUUUUUAUGUUGUUGAUGUUUAAUCCGUUAAUUGUAUAUAUGUUAAUGAAGCUUCGAUCACAACGGCAAAGCAUUGGCGCUAUACCAACACUAAAUCUUCUUGAUUCGAGCAAAGGUAUUUGUUCCCAUCACUGAAUCUGGGAAUUCCUGUGUUAUUCAUCCAUGUUUUGUAUGAAACCGGUACAUAACAUGAGUUAUUCAUUAGGUAUGGUAUCUAGACUCCUUAGAAUGUUUUUUUUUAAGAUCUGUAAUUGAUGGCAAAUAUUUAUAAGGCUUUAGGUCUAGAGCUAGAUGGUCUUAUUUGUUCAUGUUGGUCCAAAAGGGAUUAUAAUAAGCUAUAA